ensembl:lncRNA
CCGGAUGACAUUUCCGCACUUCCCGCGUUUCCGGUCGGAGCGCGUUUCCGAGCAUCGCCGAGUACGACCUGAAGGACAUUUCCUACACGGUGAAGACCCCCACGUGUCACGAGCUGCUCGUCCUCGGCUCCCUGGACGAGCCCAUGGUGUUCAGCUUUGAGGAGGAGCGCGAGGCGCAGAAAUGGUGGACGAUCGUCAGCAGCUCCCUGAGGGAGGCACAGAAAGCCUCCUCAGGCAGCGCUGUGCCGACGUCCCACACUUCAUCCCCGGUGACGACGGCCGGAGCCGGCGCUGCGGAUCGGGAUGCAGAGGAUGCUUUGGCUGCAGAGCUUUCCAACAAAG